ACCCUCUCAGGGUGGCACCUGGAGAGUUUCCAGUCCUUUACCAGUUUCGGCUACCAGAGGGGGAGUCAAGCAGAGGCCUGUCCAUUCCAUUCCUGGCUUGAGCAGUGGCUAGCGAUUGGAAGGCAAUCUGCUACAAGC